AUGCCCUCAUGGUGUUUACUUGUGCUUGUUGAUUGUCCGUCUAUCUCAAAGCAAGAGGUAGAGGAGGAGUUUCAAAAGUUUGGAGAGAUUGAAGGUGUUGCAUUCUCCCAUGAUCAAACUUCUGCAUACAUCAACUUUGAGAAGCUGGAAGAUGCCAUUUUUGACCAUAGAGCCUUGAACGGGACAGAUUUAGGGGCAAGGAAUUGUGUGUUGAUUUCCAUAGGUCCAGAGGAAGAGCGGAACAGUCGGAAGAAGGCAACUUCAAUAGUAGAGAAUCAUUGCCACCCGGUGAAAUGGGAGUUGGACAUGCAAAGGGUUUCUGCUGGAGUAUGA
rnacentral:rRNA from 1 species